CCUACGGGGGGCAGCAGUGGGGAAUCUUGCGCAAUGGGCGAAAGCCUGACGCAGCCAUGCCGCGUGAAUGAUGAGGGUCUUAGGAUUGUAAAAUUCUUUCACCGGGGACGAUAAUGACGGUACCCGGAGAAGAAGCCCCGGCUAACUUCGUGCCAGCAGCCGCGGUAAUACGAAGGGGGCUAGCGUUGCUCGGAAUUACUGGGCGUAAAGGGAGCGUAGGCGGACAUUUAAGUCAGGGGUGAAAUCCCGGGGCUCAACCUCGGAAUUGCCUUUGAUACUGGGUGUCUUGAGUAUAAGAGAGGUGUGUGGAACUCCGAGUGUAGAGGUGAAAUUCGUAGAUAUUCGGAAGAACACCAGUGGCGAAGGCGACACACUGGCUCAUUACUGACGCUGAGGCUCGAAAGCGUGGGGAGCAAACAGGAUUAGAUACCCUAGUAGUC
rnacentral:rRNA from 1 species